CCUGCUCAAUGAAUAUAUUUAAAUAGCCGCAGAUAUUCUGUGCUAAGGUAGCAUAAUCAUUUGCUUUAUAAUUAAAAGCUAGAAUGAAAGGUUGAACGUUUUAAUUUCUUUAUUAUUAAUAAAUAUUAAAAUUUUACUAAAUAUAAAAAUAUAUUUAUAAAUUAAAUAGACGACAAGACCCUAUUGAACUUAACUAUAGUUAAGCUGGGGCAGCUUAUUAAUUACAAUNUUAACUUAAUUUGUUAAAUAAAUUAUCCAAUAACAUUGAUUAAUUUAUCAAGUUACCAUAGGGAUAACAGCGUAAUAUUAAUUUAAAGUUCAUAUUAAAAUUAAUGUUUGCGACCUCGAUGUUGAAUUAUAAUUCUUUAUUUAUGCAGUAGUUAUAAAAGUAGGUCUGUCGACCUUU
rnacentral:rRNA from 1 species